CUGUUCCAUUGGUUCAUUAUCACAUAUGGUAUGGAGUUGAUGCUCGAGUCCUUGGUGAUCCUCUUCCUGUGUCUUUGCUGGCUGCUUAGCAUUGGGCUUUAUUUGGCCACGAUCUGUAAAUCUCCUGCCAUAUUGUUUAGCUAUUUGCUGU